GUUUUCCGGCGGAAGUUGUCGCUUCGCCGCCGCCGCCUCUGCCCCACUCGCGAGGCAUCCGAGAACCCCGUCCUUGUGUUGUCUUCGCCCCGGCUCCCCGCCGUCCAGAGACCCAGGGGGUAGACGAGGGUCGGGGGUGGCGACACGCAGCCUAGCCACUGUCCGGCCUGGGAUCCGGCCUCCCCGCCCCCCAGCUGCAGGGUGGAUAAAGAGGAAGAUGUGAAGAGGAGGCAGACAAAAGCAAAAGGAAAUCCUGUCAGUAGGAAAUGGUCAAAUUACAAUUCAGAUGUGCAAUGUUUGCAUAAGUAAACUGACAAAUUUUCAGACACAUCUUGGUACCUCUUCCUAAUCUUGCCCUGGUAAAAUGGGGGUUAUCAGUGCAAGUUUGAGGAUAUAUACAGUUGGAAAAUGGACAUCACCAAACUGGACUCCAGAAAGCUCUGUCUAGGAUUUUAUUAGACUGCUUUUUUCUCAAUAUACCUGUAUUGGAAGAUUGAGACAAAAAGGCACAAACUCACAUUAAAUAAACAAGGUAAUCUAA